GUGUUCGCUUUGGCAGUACAUAUACUAAAAUUGGAACAGUACAGAAAUGAGCAUGACCCUUCCGCAAGGAUGACAUGCAAAUUCGUGAAGUGUUCCAUAUCUUA
ensembl:snRNA U6 U6 spliceosomal RNA